rnacentral:SRP_RNA from 2 species
GCCGGGCAUGGUGGUGGGUGCCUGUAAUCCCAGCUACUCAGGAGGCUGAGGCAGGAGAAUCACUUGAACCCAGGAGGCGGAGGUUGCAGUGAGCUGAGAUCGUGCCACUGGACUCCAGCCUGGGUGACAGAGCGAGACUCUGUCUCAA